AUUCCAGCUCCAAUAGCGUAUAUUAAAGUUGUUGCAGUUAAAAAGCUCGUAGUUGGAUUUCUGGUCUCUGUGUGAUGGUCCGCCGUGAGGUGAGCACUGUUGCUGGGGACCUUCUUCUUGAAGGGGUGUGGUGUUCUUAACUGAGUGCUGCAUUUAUUCAAGACCUUUACUUUGAAAAAAUUAGAGUGUUCAAAGCAGGCGUUUUGCUUGAAUACAUUAGCAUGGAAUAAUGGAAUAGGACUAGGGUUCUAUUUUGUUGGUUUCUAGGACUUUAGUAAUGAUUAAUAGGGAUAGUUGGGGGCAUUAGUAUUUAAUUGUCAGAGGUGAAAUUCUUGGAUUUAUGAAAGACUAACUUCUGCGAAAGCAUUUGCCAAGGAUGUUUUCAUUG
rnacentral:rRNA from 1 species